UCCUGGCGUUGGCCGUCAGUGGAAGAGCGUAGCUUCGGUGGAUUUUGUGACGAGCGGAUUUACAAUGAGGGAAUGCUGUGAACGAGAAAAAUGAUGAGCUGUCCUAACUUGCCCAGACAUG